rfam:Nomascus leucogenys chromosome 17, whole genome shotgun sequence.
GCCUGGUGUGGUGGAGUGUGCCUGUAUUCCCAGCUACUUGGGAGGCUGAGGCGGGAGGAUCACUUGAGCCCAGGAGUCUGAGCUGUAGUGCGCUAUGCCAAUCAGGUGUCUGCACUAAGUUUAGCAUCAACUUCCUAGGAGUGGGGGACCACCAAGUUGCUUAAGGAGAGGUGAACCAGUUCAGGUCGGAGACUGAGCAGGUCAAAACUCCCGUGCUGAUGAAUAGUGGCAUCCCGCCUGUGAAUAGCCACUGCACUUCAGCCUGGGCAACAUAGUGAGACCCUGUCUCAA